rnacentral:piRNA from 1 species
UUUGUGCACAGGCCCUUUUCUAUGGCC